UGUCUCCCUGAAGUGAUGCAUAACCGAUCACGAUCUACUCUUGUCACUUUGGUAAAGUUAUGUUGCUUGUCAGGGUGAG
rnacentral:pre_miRNA from 1 species